GGCAGCAGCUAAGAAUAUUCCGCAAUGGGGGAAACCCUGACGGAGCGACGCCGCGUGGACGAUGAAGGCCGGAAGGUUGUAAAGUCCUUUUUUGUGCGAGGAAUAAGUACGGAAGGGAAUGUCCGUGCGGUGACUGUAGCACAGGAAUAAGCACCGGCUAAUUACGUGCCAGCAGCCGCGGUAACACGUAAGGUGCGAGCGUUGUUCGGAAUCAUUGGGCGUAAAGGGCAUGUAGGCGGCCGUGCAAGUCUGGAGUGAAAUGCCGGGGCUCAACCCCGGAACUGCUUUGGAAACUGCAUGGCUGGAGUCGCUGAGGGGGAGCCGGAAUUCCAGGUGUAGGGGUGAAAUCUGUAGAUAUCUGGAAGAACACCGAUGGCGAAGGCAGGCUUCCAGCAGACGACUGACGCUGAGGUGCGAAGGUGCGGGUAGCGAACAGGAUUAGAUACCCUGGUAGUCCGCACAGUAAACGAUGCACACUGGGUGUCCGGGCAAGAGCCUGGGUGCCGAAGCAAACGCGGUAAGUGUGCCGCCUGGGGAGUAUGCCCGCAAGGGUGAAACUCAAAGGAAUUGACGG
rnacentral:rRNA from 1 species